GUCCACGCCGUAAACGAUGGAUACUAGCUGUUGGGGCAACUUCAGUGGCUAAGCGAAAGUGAUAAGUAUCCCACCUGGGGAGUACGUUCGCAAGAAUGAAACUCAAAGGAAUUGACGGGGCCCGCACAAGCGGUGGAGCAUGUGGUUUAAUUCGAUGAUACGCGAGGAACCUUACCAAGGCUUAAAUGUAGAUUGACAGGACUGGAAACAGUUUUUUCUUCGGACAAUUUACAAGGUGCUGGCAUGGUUGUCGU
rnacentral:rRNA from 1 species